UUUAGUUUGAAUAUUACAAAAUAUGAGUACACUGCAGCUGUCAUUUCAUUGCGAAUCAUAAUGAACUAGAAUGUUUUGAUUGAAUUUGCAUAAAAUUGACUUCACUGCAACCUUAAAGUUUUGUAUACAAAACUGUCCUGAAUCCAAUCGUUAUAUUCACCUGGAUAUGAACAUCCGAGUACACAGUGAGUUAGUUCUUAAUGUGAAACUGAAAUUCAAUUCAAAUAUCAAUUAUCUCGCUAAGUUCGCUCGACGCUUUUGGGGAAAUAUGCGGCAAAUUAAUAUGGCCAAGUACGAAACCAAACCGGCAUCACCACCAAGACAAGGACAGGGACCGCGGCUAGGAACAGCACCAAGACCUGGACAAGACGACUUCGCUCGCAACCCUUCUGUUACUGCCAAUGAGUUUUUAAGCACAAGUUUUCCUUAAUUUAUAACGAGGAUUACAAUAAACAAACUAAUCUAAGGCAAUAAACACUAAAAAUCCCCCAAAAGUGUUGCCGAGGCACUCCUGGGCAUUGGCUUUAGUUGUGUCUCAUCUUAUAAGUUAAAUCGCAAAGCCAAUCCUUUCGCCUUUUAAAUAUGCCAUUUCCGUUGCGAGAUUAUUUUUCGAUAUCGCAUGAUUCGAGAUGUUUACGAGUGUCCAGUCUCCCAAACGGGUAACAUUCGUUUGACCAUAGCCCCAGAUACAGAGACGGGAUACAGACGAUAGGCAUCGGCAAUAAGAGGGUAUUGUCAGCAUUUGGGUUAAUGUCCUUGUGUACGUCCCAAGCAUUC